rnacentral:misc_RNA from 1 species
GAUGAAGAACGCAGCGAAAUGCGAUACGUAAUGUGAAUUGCAGAAUUCAGUGAAUCAUCGAGUCUUUGAACGCACAUUGCGCCCCCUGGUAUUCGGGGGGCAUGCCUGUCCGAGCGUCAUUGCUGCCCUCAAGCACGGCUUGUGUGUUGGGCCCCCGCCCCCCGGCUUCGGGGGGCGGGCCCGAAAGGCAGCGGCGGCACCGCGUCCGGUCCUCGAGCGUAUGGGGCUUCGUCACCCGCUCUGUAGGCCCGGCCGGCGCCCGCCGGCGACCCCAAUCAAUCUUUCCAGGUUGACCUCGGAUCAGGUAGGGAUACCCGCUGAACUUAAGCAUAUCAAUAAGCGGAGGA